rnacentral:ncRNA from 2 species
UGACAUUCGUUAAGUGACGGUUCCCAGCGGCCAAAAAGCCAAGGGAUCAAAAGGGAACACGGUGAGGUGUAGCCAUCAGGCGCCAAAUCCGUGACUGCCCCCGCAACUGUAAACGGCGAGCGUGCCCGGAAAACGCCACUGACCAUCUGGUUGGGAAGGCCCGGGAAAGCGACGACCCGCAAGUCAGGAGACCUGCCGUCACGCCGCAUGGGAU